rnacentral:rRNA from 1 species
CCUACGGGUGGCAGCAGUGGGGAAUAUUGGGCAAUGGGCGCAAGCCUGACCCAGCAACGCCGCGUGAAGGAAGAAGGCUUUCGGGUUGUAAACUUCUUUUCUCUGGGACGAAGCAAGUGACGGUACCUGAGGAAGAAGCCACGGCUAACUACGUGCCAGCAGCCGCGGGAAUACGUAGGUGGCAAGCGUUAUCCGUAUUUACUGGGCGGAAAGGGCGAGUAGGCGGGACAGCAAGUCAGAUGUGAAAACCAUGGGCUCAACCUGUGUGCUGCAUGGGAAACUGUUUUGCUUGAGUACUGGAGAGGCAGACGGAAUUCCUAGUGUAGCGGUGAAAUGCGUAGAUAGUAGGAGGAACACCAGUGGCGAAGGCGGUCUGCUGGACAGAAACUGACGCUGAGGCGCGAAAGCGUGGGGAGCAAACAGGAUUAGAUACCCGGGUAGUC